CACAUUUUAAACAAGUCAAAUGUUUUUGACAUAAUGCUUCUUCAAGUAAGUGUCAUUCGGUUCUGUCAUGACAAGUUAGGGGUAGGGUGAAGGUU